GAUGAAGAACGUAGCGAAAUGCGAUAAGUAAUGUGAAUUGCAGAAUUCAGUGAAUCAUCGAAUCUUUGAACGCACAUUGCGCCCGCCAGUAUUCUGGCGGGCAUGCCUGUUCGAGCGUCAUUUCAACCCUCAAGCACCUUCGGGAGCUUGGUGUUGGGGAUCGGCAGGGCGUCCUCCGGGUCGCGCCGUCCCCCAAAUCUAGUGGCGGUCUCGCUGUAGCUUCCUCUGCGUAGUAAUACACCUCGCUCUGGAGUCUCGGUGCGGCCACGCCGUAAAACCCCCAACUUUUUUCUGGUUGACCUCGAAUCAGGUAGGACUACCCGCUGAACUUAAGCAUAUCAAUAAGCGGAGGA
rnacentral:misc_RNA from 1 species